GCGAUCAUAUCAUUACUAAUGCACCGAAUUCCAUCCAAACUUCGCAGUUAAGCGUGCUUGGGCGAGAAUAGUACUAGGAUGGGUGACCCCCUGGGAAGUACUCGUGUUGCACCUC